CCUACGGGAGGCAGCAGUGGGGAAUAUUGGACAAUGGGCGAAAGCCUGAUCCAGCAAUGCCGCGUGAGUGAAGAAGGCCUUCGGGUUGUAAAGCUCUUUUACCCGGGAAGAUAAUGACUGUACCGGGAGAAUAAGCUCCGGCUAACUCCGUGCCAGCAGCCGCGGUAAUACGGAGGGAGCUAGCGUUGUUCGGAAUUACUGGGCGUAAAGCGUACGUAGGCGGCUUGGUAAGUCAGAGGUGAAAGCCCACGACUCAAUCGUGGAACUGCCUUUGAGACUGCUUCGCUUGAAGAUGGGAGAGGUUAGUGGAAUUCCGAGUGUAGAGGUGAAAUUCGUAGAUAUUCGGAAGAACACCAGUGGUGAAGGCGGCUAACUGGACCAUUCUUGACGCUGAGGUACGAAAGCGUGGGGAGCAAACAGGAUUAGAUACCCUGGUAGUCCACGCCGUAAACGAUGAUAACUAGCUGUCGGGGCUCUUGGAGCUUCGGUGGCGCAGCUAACGCAUUAAGUUAUCCGCCUGGGGAGUACGGCCGCAAGGUUAAAACUCAAAUGAAUUGACGG
rnacentral:rRNA from 1 species